rnacentral:misc_RNA from 1 species
GAUGAAGAACGUAGCGAAAUGCGAUACGUAAUGUGAAUUGCAAAUUCAGUGAAUCAUCGAGUCUUUGAACGCACAUUGCGCCCCCUGGUAUUCCGGGGGGCAUGCCUGUCCGAGCGUCAUUGCUGCCCUCAAGCACGGCUUGUGUGUUGGGCCCCGUCCUCCGAUCCCGGGGGACGGGCCCGAAAGGCAGCGGCGGCACCGCGUCCGGUCCUCGAGCGUAUGGGGCUUUGUCACCCGCUCUGUAGGCCCGGCCGGCGCUUGCCGAUCAACCCAAAUUUUUAUCCAGGUUGACCUCGGAUCAGGUAGGGAUACCCGCUGAACUUAAGCAUAUCAAUAAGAGGAGGA